GAUGAGAACGUAGCGAAAUGCGAUACGUAAUGUGAAUUGCAGAAUUCAGUGAAUCAUCGAAUCUUUGAACGCACAUUGCGCCUGCCAGCACUCUGGCAGGCAUGCCUGUUCGAGCGUCAUUUCAACCAUCAAGCCCUAGGCUUGCGUUGGAGCCCUGCGGCUGCCGCAGGCCCCUAAAAGCAGUGGCGGGCUCGCUAUCACACCGAGUGCAGUAGAUUACUCUUCGCUCAGGGCGUGUGGCGGGUUCCAGCCGUGAAACCCCCUACUUCUCAAGGUUGACCUCGGAUCAGGUAGGAAUACCCGCUGAACUUAAGCAUAUCAAUAAGCGGAGGA
rnacentral:misc_RNA from 1 species